GGGUCCCCCUUUUAUAGGCGGAGGGAGCAACAGACUGAUAGCGAUGUCUGUAACCGUCUGGUCAUGGGCUGCCCAGGGUCAGGCGGAGUUUGUUGCAAAGAGUGGUGGAGUAGACCCGUGGCUAUCACCGAAGCGCACCACGUGGAGUCUGCCGCAGGGAGUGGAGCGGCGUCUGUUGUCGCGACUUGCCAGAGGAUGGAAGAAUCGUGCGGUAUCCAUCGCAGGAAG
rnacentral:lncRNA from 1 species